UACGUAGGGCGCAAGCGUUUGUCCGGAAUUAUUGGGCGUAAAGAGCUCGUAGGCGGCUUGUCACGUCGGGUGUGAAAGCCCGGGGCUUAACCCCGGGUCUGCAUUCGAUACGGGCUAGCUAGAGUGUGGUAGGGGAGAUCGGAAUUCCUGGUGUAGCGGUGAAAUGCGCAGAUAUCGAGGAAGAACCGAGCCCGUGGCGAAGGCGGCGUCUCUGGGACGGUACUGACGCUGAAGCACGCGGAAAGCGUAGGGAGGCGAACAU
rnacentral:rRNA from 1 species